UGUCCGCUUAGCUCAAUCGGGAGAGCGUCUGCCUUACAAGCAGAAGGUAACUGGAUCGUAACCAGUAGCGGAUACCAC
rnacentral:tRNA from 1 species